GACGAACGCUGGCGGCGUGCCUAAUACAUGCAAGUCGAACGCAGUUGCGAACGGGUGAGUAACGCGUAGGUAACUGCCCCAUUGCGUGGGAUAACUAUUGGAAACGCUAGCUAAUACCGCAUACUGUGAGAUGGACCUGCUUUGUAUUAGCUUGUUGGUGAGGUAAAGGCGCAGCAAGGCGACGAUACAUAGCCGACCUGAGAGGCUGAACGGCGACGCUGGGACUAAGAGAAGGCCCAGACUCCUAAGGGAGGCAGCAGAAGGGAAUGUGCGGAAAUGGGCGGAAGUCUGACCGGGCAACGCCGCGGGAGUGAAGAAGGUUUUCGGGUCGUAGAGCUCUGUUGUCAGAGAAGCGGUAGCUAACCAGAAAGGGACGGCUAACUACGUGCCAGCAGCCGCGGUAAUAC
rnacentral:rRNA from 1 species